GCGGCGAGCGCGUAUCGGAGGCGCAUCCAUCAGCGGAGCCAACGGCUGGGAGAACAGGUGAACUGGAUCGGUUCCAUGGACCCAGCCGUUCUUCUUCCUAGGGACCUGAGCGCAGUGCUGGUUUGUGGUGUUGAAGAUCGAAUUGAGGGCCUUGUACAAGAUAGGUUCCUCUCACUGCCUCAUGUGUGUGGAGAAGAUAGACGCUCUCAUCUACUGCUCCACUAUCACGAACGCCUGCCUGUCACCAUCCUCCCUCUAAUGAUGGGUGUGGAUUCUAAUCCUCUGUAACUACCAGGAUGACCUUAAAUUCAGAGAUCUGCCUCCUCCUACCUCCUGUAGAGUGCUGGGAUUAAAGGUGUGUGCCACCACGUCCUUCUAUAAAUUGCUUUGGUCACAGUGUUUUGUUGAAAAAGGAAAGUAACUAAGACAGGGAUUCUGAGUCAGUUCUUCUGACUCAGAUGGCUUUGCAUUUCCUGCAGUAGCCAUCCCCAGGCAUUUGCAGAUGGCCAUCAAGUAUCUAAUAGAGUUUCUGUGUACCGUAGCAGUCUUGGAACUCACUUUGUAGACCAGGCUGGUCUGAACUCAGAGAUUCGCCUGUCUCUGCCUCCCAAGUGCUGGGAUUAAAGGCAUGUGCCACCACUGACCAGCCAAAUCCCAAAAUCUUAUUAAAGGGGAAAAAAAAGGUAUGUAUAGGGGGAGUUAGCAUCUUUAAACCUUAGUUAGGGUUUCUAUUGCUGUGAUGAAAACACCAUGACUAAAAAAGCAAGUUGGGGAGGAAAGGGUUUAUCUGACUUACACUUUCAGAUCACUGUUCAUCAUCAAAGGAAGUCAGGACAGAAACUAAAACAGGGCAGGCACCUGGAGGCAGGAGUUGAUGCAGAGGCCAUGGAGGGGUGCUGCUUACUAGCUUGCUCCUCAUGGCUUGCUCAGCCUGCUUUCUUACAGAACCCAGGACCUCCAGCCCAGGGGUGUCCCUACUGACAGUGGACUGGGCCCUCCCCUAUCAAUCACUCAUUAAGAAAAUACCCUACAGCCAGAUCUUUUUAUUUUUAUUUAAUGUCAAAUGCUGUUUAUUGAAGGAGGGAAAAGGUCUUAAAUACAGGCUUACAGCACAAUGGGAGAACCCUGGAGGGCAGAAGUUCACUACUUACAUCUAAGCUGUUAACGGAUACACAGACAAGGAACUUCCCUUAAGCAUUCAGGAGGGUGGAACCCGGCAGGGAAUUAGCACAGGGAGGAUAUCAAGGUCAAGGUCAGCAAGCAAGGCAACAGUUACCCAAAACAGGGGCCAGGACCCUACAGGUCCCCCUUUUACUAAAAAAUGAGCUUCUGACUUAGGUUGUGUGGGAUGUCAGCAGGUCACCUUACUCAUCAUGGAGAUGCCUGCCCAGGCCACACAGGUGCUCUGUCUUAGGUUGGUGAGUGCCCCCCGGAUAUUACCCAUCUCUGAAUACUCAUUAUCAUACAGGCUCAAUUGUGUGUGAGCUGUACAGCCAGAUCUUAUGGAGAUAUUUUUCUCAACUGAGGUUCCCUCUUCAGAUAACUCUAGCUCAUCACACUGACACAGAACUAGCCAGCACUAUGGAGGGGCCCCCAAACAGCUUGACCAUGCAGCAGCCAUGACAGGGUUAGGGACCCAGACACAGCUUCUGUGACAGGUUUGCUGGCAGGCAACACCCAGAUCCAGGAAAAUCCUUAAGCUGACACCACCCAGGGAUCCACCCAGGGAUGGGGAAAGUACCUGACAUCCCAAACAUUCCAACCAUUAGAUAAGGUGGCCAGAUGUCCUUGAGUCUAGCACACAUCUAUUUUUGUUUUACAGAUACCCCUAGACAAUUGUCAUCAUCCUGAACUCUGGAAAUCCCUCUCACCCCAACCUCUGCUAUGAUAAAAACCCCACCCCACCUGAGCUCUUUGCUCUCACUGCUGUGUCAGACAGAGGGACCAAGCUCCAGAGCUUGAAAUAAAGGCUCUUUGCUUUUAUACUUGGGAUUCAGUCUCCAUGGUAGUCUUUUUGGGGUUCCCCGUGAUCUGGGCAUAACCAGCACAAAGCCCAAUAUACUCUUAUCACUGAGGGACAAGGGAUGUACCUGACACAUCUGACCACAUUACAUGUAAAAACAUAGUUUUUCAUACUGGAUGACUUAGAGGGGCCCCAAAACUGCUUGACCACAUAGCUGCCAUGACAAGCUUAGAGGCCCAAGCACAGCUUCUGGCAACACCCACACCCAGGAAAAGCCAUAAGCUGACCCCACCCAGGGGUGGCCUACAUCUAAGGGGAAGUACCUGACAUCCCAAACAUUCCAACCAUUAGAUAAGGUGGCCAGAUGUCCCCAAGUCUAGCACACACCUAUUUUUGUUUCACUGAUAUCCCUAGACAAAUGUCAGCCAAUCAGGGUCCUGAACCUUGGAAAUGCCCUCACCCAACCACUGCUAUGAUAAAAACUCUACCUCGCCUUGACUCAGGGCUCUCUGCUCUCACCACUGCAUUGGACAGACAGAGAGACCAAGGCCUGGAGCUUAUAAUAAAGGCUCUCUGCUUUUACAUGUGGGAUUCCAUCUCUGUGGUGGUCUUUUGGGCAU